rnacentral:RNase_P_RNA from 1 species
AGAGUUGACUAGGCAGUCGCGCUUUCAAUCAAUAGAAAGUGAGGAAAGUCCGGGCUUCAUAGGGCAGGGUGCCAGGUAACGCCUGGGGGACGCGAGUCUACGGCUAGUGCCACAGAAAAUAAACCGCCGAUUUCGCGUAAGUUGCGGAAGGUAAGGGUGAAAUGGUGCGGUAAGAGCGCACCGCGCCAUUGGUAACAAUGGUGGCAGGGUAAACCCCACUCGAAGCAAAACCAAAUAGGGAAACAGGCAGCUUUUGCUGCAUCGCAUGGCCCAUGCGAGUUUCCGGGUAGGUUGCUUGAGGUGUGCGGCGACGUACAUCCUAGAUGAAUGACUGCUCACGACAGAACCCGGCUUAUCGGUCAACUCUCAAU